rnacentral:tRNA from 2 species
UGAAAUGUAGCCAAAUAGGAUAAGGCAUCGGACUUUGACUCCGAUAUUUGUAGGUUCAAAUCCUACCAUUUCAG